UACGUAGGGUGCAAGCGUUGUCCGGAAUUAUUGGGCGUAAAGAGCUCGUAGGCGGUUUGUCGCGUCUGCUGUGAAAGCCCGGGGCUUAACUCCGGGUCUGCAUUCGAUACGGGCUGGCUAGAGUGUGGUAGGGGAGAUCGGAAUUCCUGGUGUAGCGGUGAAAUGCGCAGAUAUCAGGAGGAACACCGGUGGCGAAGGCGGGUCUCUGGGCCAUUACUGACGCUGAGGAGCGAAAGCGUGGGGAGCGAACAGG
rnacentral:rRNA from 1 species